rnacentral:rRNA from 1 species
CGCGCAGGCGGCUUCCCAAGUCCCUCUUAAAAGUGCGGGGCUUAACCCCGUGAUGGGAAGGAAACUGGGAAGCUGGAGUAUCGGAGAGGAAAGUGGAAUUCCUAGUGUAGCGGUGAAAUGCGUAGAGAUUAGGAAGAACACCGGUGGCGAAGGCGACUUUCUGGACGAAAACUGACGCUGAGGCGCGAAAGCGUGGGGAGCAAACA